rnacentral:rRNA from 1 species
GAUGAACGCUGGCGGCGUGCCUAAUACAUGCAAGUCGAGCGAACGGACGAGAAGCUUGCUUCUCUGAUGUUAGCGGCGGACGGGUGAGUAACACGUGGAUAACCUACCUAUAAGACUGGGAUAACUUCGGGAAACCGGAGCUAAUACCGGAUAAUAUUUUGAACCGCAUGGUUCAAUAGUGAAAGACGGUCUUGCUGUCACUUAUAGAUGGAUCCGCGCUGCAUUAGCUAGUUGGUAAGGUAACGGCUUACCAAGGCAACGAUGCGUAGCCGACCUGAGAGGGUGAUCGGCCACACUGGAACUGAGACACGGUCCAGACUCCUACGGGAGGCAGCAGUAGGGAAUCUUCCGCAAAGGGCGAAAGCCUGACGGAGCAACGCCGCGUGAGUGAUGAAGGUCUUCGGAUCGUAAAACUCUGUUAUUAGGGAAGAACAUAUGUGUAAGUAACUGUGCACAUCUUGACGGUACCUAAUCAGAAAGCCACGGCUAACUACGUG